GUGGGGAAUAUUGGACAAUGGGGGGAACCCUGAUCCAGCCAUGCCGCGUGUGUGAAGAAGGCCUUUUGGUUGUAAAGCACUUUAAGCGAGGAGGAGGCUACCGAGAUUAAUACUCUUGGAUAGUGGACGUUACUCGCAGAAUAAGCACCGGCUAACUCUGUGCCAGCAGCCGCGGUAAUACAGAGGGUGCAAGCGUUAAUCGGAUUUACUGGGCGUAAAGCGCGCGUAGGUGGCCAAUUAAGUCAAAGGUGAAAUCCCCGAGCUUAACUUGGGAAUUGCAUUCGAUACUGGUUGGCUAGAGUAUGGGAGAGGAUGGUAGAAUUCCAGGUGUAGCGGUGAAAUGCGUAGAGAUCUGGAGGAAUACCGAUGGCGAAGGCAGCCAUCUGGCCUAAUACUGACACUGAGGUGCGAAAGCAUGGGGAGCAAACAGGAUUAGAAACCCCGGUAGUCC
rnacentral:rRNA from 1 species